AACGAACGCUGGCGGCAUGCCUAACACAUGUAAGUCGAACGAGACCUUCGGGUCUAGUGGCGCACGGGUGCGUAACGCGUGGGAACCUGCCCUUAGGUUCGGAAUAACUCCCCGAAAGGGGUGCUAAUACCGGAUAAUGUCUUCGGACCAAAGAUUUAUCGCCUUUGGAUGGGCCCGCGUUGGAUUAGCUAGUUGGUAGGGUAAAAGCCUACCAAGGCGACGAUCCAUAGCUGGUCUGAGAGGAUGAUCAGCCACACUGGGACUGAGACACGGCCCAGACUCCGACGGGAGGCAGCAGUGGGGAAUAUUGGACAAUGGGCGAAAGCCUGAUCCAGCAAUGCCGCGUGAGUGAUGAAGGCCUUAGGGUUGUAAAGCUCUUUUACCCGGGAUGAUAAUGACAGUACCGGGAGAAUAAGCUCCGGCUAACUCCGUG
rnacentral:rRNA from 1 species